ACAACAUUCGGACCGUCGGUCUACCGAGCAAUAUCACGCGCUCGAUAGAAGAUCUUCCCUUCGUCGU
rnacentral:pre_miRNA from 1 species